AACGAACGCUGGCGGCAUGCCUAACACAUGCAAGUCGAACGAGACCUUCGGGUCUAGUGGCGCACGGGUGCGUACCGCGUGGUAACCUGCCCUUAGGUUCGGAAUAACUCCCCGAAAGGUGUGCUAAUACCGGUUAAUGUCUUCGGACCAAAGAUUUAUCGCUUUUGGAUGGGGCCGCGUUGGAUUAGCUAGUUGGUAGGGUACAAGCCUACCAAGGCGACGUUCCAUAGCUGGUCUGAGAGGAGGACCAGCCACACUGGGACUGAGACACGGCCCAGACUCCUACGGGAGGCAGCAGAGGGGAAUAUUAGACAAUGGGCGAAAGCCUGAUACAGCAAUGCCGCGUGAGUGAUGAAGGCCUUAGGAUUGUAAAGCUCUUUUACCCGGGAUGAUAAUGACAGUACCGGGAGAAUAAGCUCCGGCUAACUCCGUG
rnacentral:rRNA from 1 species